rnacentral:lncRNA from 1 species
AAAAUAUAUAUAAGUGAAAUAAAUUAAAGCAGCAAACUUCAAACAAACUUUACCUGACUUUCUGAACGAGAAUCAUCUUGAGCUUGCGGGCAAGAUCCUGCGCGCGAAGCCUGCGCUCCAAAUUCUUUUUGGCCAAAACGCGCUUCUCGGAAUUUUUGACGUGGGCAAGCUGUUCCUGCUUUAUCAUUCGCUCGAUGCCGUUGGACUGCAUCUUCCUCUGCAUUAAGGUCAAAGCCUGAUCUAAAUUGCUGUUGUAAACCUUGACUCGGAUGCCCCUGCACUGUUGCAGGUGAGAACUCAUGGAAAAGAAGGAGGUCCGCCGCAUCGCCGCCGCCUGAAUCAUUGUAUCGGUUGGAAUUUGGGAUUUGAUUUGAGGGUUGUUUGGGGAUGUGGGAUUGGGAUAAAAAAGAAACUGGGCCGCAGGGUUUGGGUGGGCCUCUUGUACAAAAAAUGAGUAAGAACAUUGUGGUCGAAUUUUUAGUUUACGUUAAACACCAAUAUUGUUUCUGGUAGUGUUUUAUUCAUAAUUCUUCUUUUCAUAUAAUAGUAUAUCAUAUACAAUAUUGCUAAAAAAUAAGAUUAAUUAUGCUGUAAUAAGAAAAACUAGAAAUUAAUUAAGGAUUCCAAUUUCGCACAUUUUACACAUAUUUGAUUGGGAGAAAGACAUAUGUAACCAAAAGCAUAUAGUUUAAGACUUAUAUAGCCACCACUUUUAAACCAUGACUUUGGGGGUCAAAAUGCUAGUAAAAGACUAUGCUACCCUUACUAAAUAGUGAAUAAAAAUAAAACAAAAUUGAAAUAGAAAAUUUGUUUGACUUUAAGAUUGAAAAUUAAAAAAAAAAAAAACAGAAAACCCAAAUUAAAUAAAGCAACUAACCUUUUUGAAUUCAGUCACUCUCUCUCUCUUCGAUCACGGUUUCGUCUUCUCCCAGAAAGCAAACGGCCAGAAAUCUCCAACUCUCGCCUGCGGCGCGACUUCACACCUCUCGCCUCUUCGUCCUCUCUGCGACCGACGAGCGCGUCGCGACCUUGACCAGCAGGCGAUCCUCCAGCUGCAGUCCUCCGGCGGCGCGACUUCAUCCAGCGCCACCUUCCUCCAGCGACAUCUGUUCCAUCGACGGCGAUGGCAGCUUCUUCUUCUUCUUCUUCACACCUUAAUUUCCCCCUUGGUCUUUCCAAUGCACUUUCCUCUCUCUCUUUCCCUCUCUCUGCUGCGAAUAACACCAUGGCUGAGCGAGAUAUUGCUCCUGCGCCAUCUACAGAAGCAGAGCACGCUGUCGCCGCAGCCGCCGAAAGACCAUCAACGGCUGUGGCAGACGAACAACAAAUUACAGCAGCAAACACAAGUAGAAUACAAUCGGUAAGUUUUGAACAAGAGGUUUAGGUAAUGACCAAAUGAAGAAAUAUUAAUGGUUCUCUCUACAAAUUUGUCAUUUUUGUGGAUAUAGGUUCGCAUUUGGAAUUGGAUGAUGUUUGUCUUUUGGGUGACUAAUGUUAAUGGUGAAAGCUUGAUUUUUUGGUUCAUUCUUGGUGAUUAUUGAAAAGCUUGACUAAUUUUGAUUAAUUUUGGUGAAAGCUUGACUAAUUUUGAUUCAGGAAUAUUCAAUUAAAAUUAAUUUUUUAUAAUAAUUGAAUUAGUAUUAAUUUUAUAUAAAUAUAAAAAUUAAAAAUAUUUUUCCGUGCAAUUCACGGGAUGCAAAUGCUAGUUAUAUGUAAAUUAAGUAAAAUUCAGUAACACGUUAGACAUUACUCACUCAAACGGGACAUCUUUUAGUAAUUGAUAUGCGUAUAAAUGAAAUUAAUUAUUCAAAAUAAAUGUUUAAACAUUAGAGUCGAUUUAAAUGAGUUAAUAGUGUUCAUAUCCAUUACUCACUCAAACAUACUGGGGAUAUAUUACAUGUAAGUUAAGUGUACUAAGAGUAUAUGUUAGUGUACAUGUUAGUGUACGCGUUUAUUUGUUUUCAUUUAUAUUUGGAAGGCCAAAUGCGUUUAUUCCCCACUAGGCCACUACUAGUUUAUCACAAUUCACGACUAGUUGGAAAUGAGAUUCAGUAUACCACAUUUUAUGUCUUACUUUGUGUCUUAUUUUCAAUUUUAUUUAUGAACUAGUUAAGUUUAAUUAUGAACUAGUAUGAUCAUUUAAAAUUUAUAAAAAAAAGGCGUAAUAAAUAAAUAAAUAAUUAUUUCCAUACAUAAACAUAUAUAAAAAAAUUUAAAAAGAGAGAAAAUAAAAUAUGUAACUUUUGAUAUUUUUUCAAAACUUAUUCAUUUUAAAUUAAUUUUUCGUGAUUUUUACACUAUAUUAAAUUUAAAAUGCAUAUUGCAUUUUUUUAAAUCAAAUCAUGUGAUAAUGUUUAUAAAAGAAUUAACAUAUAGAAAAAAUUAAAAAAUAAUGAAAAAAUUGGUGGAAGAAGAGAGAGAAAAAAGAGAGGAAAAUAACAAAUCUUUAUAUAUAUAAAAAGCAAAGUAAAUGUAAUUUAAUUCAAUUUGAAGGACAUAAUUGGAAUUGAGAAAAUAAUUAUAAUAACAAAAAUCUCCUACAAAACUGGCGUUAGUUAUAUACUCCUACAAAAAUGUCGAAAAUUGUUAACUGACAAAUGAGUAUUAGCAAAAAUAAUUUUAAAUGAUUUGUGCCGAAACAAAAAAUUAAAUGAUCGCCUAUUUCAAAAAAUUGUUAACCCUUGAAUUUAACAUAGGAGAUUAAAAAUCCAAAUUUCCGAUGCCCGAAGUCCUUCAAAUCGGGAAAAUAGUAAGAGUUCUACGGUGCACAAUGACAAUGCACAACUACGUACACAGUGAACCGGUGAAUACACAGUCAACCACAAACGGUGCAUGUUUUAGUAAUUCAUAUGCAAUUAAGUGAAAUUAAGUAUGCAAUUUCAAUUAAUAGACAUUAUAUUCAAUAAAAAUGAGUCAAUAGUGUUCAAUUUCAUUACCCCCUCAAACACAUUGGACAUAUAUCGCAUGAGAGUUAAGUACACUAAGAGUACGUGUUAAAGUGCAUAUAAUAUCAUCGUAGUAAUUGAGACGUGUUUGAUUAAAAACAAGUAUUCGAUUUGAUGUGUUAACCCUUUAAUUUAACAUAGGAGAUUAAAAAUCCAAAUUUUCGAUGCCCGAAGUCCUUCAAAUCGGGACAAUAGCAAGAGUUCUACGGUGCACGGUGACAGUGCACAACUACGUGCACAGUUUAACAACUACGUACACAGUUUGCCCCAAACGGGGCAUGUUUUAGUAAUUCCGAUGCAAUUAAGUGAAAUUAAGUAUGCAAUUUCAAUCAAUAGGCAUUAUAUUCAAUAAAAAUGAGUCAAUAGUGUUCAAUUCCAUUACCCCCUCAAACAUAUUGGGCAUAUAUCGCAUGAGAGUUAANUGUAUCGAAUUUUGGUCGUUUAUUCCCAUUUUCCCACCCAAUAUAUAUAUUUGUAUCGAAUUUUGGUCGUUUAUUCCCAUUUUCCCACCCAAUACGUUUACUUUUUGUCACUUUAUUUAUUUGGAAAAUUCUGUUUCACCAUUUAUAGAAUGUACAUUGAUUUGGUAUUCUUCUGUCGCCAUUUUGGAAGAGUAAGAUCUGAUUUCGCCAACUUCUUCUACCGUCAGAUAUUAUUAUUAUUAUUGCAACUUCCAUCUCGUUAAGUUUAUGUUAUUUCGGAUAUUAUUUCAACGAAACGGUUUGUCACAAAUCCUCUUAAAACUAAAACGGCGGUGAAUGUAAAAUCUCCCCCUUAAAAAUUUGAGUCAAACUAUGUUUAAACAUACAAAUUAAGUCCGAAUAAUUAUUUUGCAUACAUAAAAAUAUUUGGCAUCGAGAAGCUCAUUUGUAGGUCAUUCUAUCAAAUUUCAAACACAUACAGCCGUAUGCUAUUAUUGGGAGUUUUUCCAUUAAAAGUUGGAGCCCUGCCCUGCCCCCCUUGGCAAUGGAUGCAUGGAAAUUUCCUCAAGAAGCACUGAAAAUACAACCAACUAUAUUUGGAAAUGACGAUUAGAGUAAUUGGCAAGGACUAAAUGGUUUCUACUUAACUCCUUCAAGCUAUCUUAUAUACCCCUGCAAGCAGAAAAACGACAUGUCAGUUUAGGAACCAAAUUUUUCUAGGAUGAGAACACACUGAAUUUCAACAAGAUAGAAUAUGACGCUGAAGUAAAGAAACAGACGGAGCAAAGUUGAAAAUAUAAGCAUUACAGAAGUCGAUGAAGUAUUCUAAUGUUAACAACUACAAUUGACAAUACAAUAUGAACAGUUCAAUUUUGCACUCUUUGUCCAACUCCGUCUACUCUCUGGCUUUCAAACACGAAAAAGAGUAAAGAUCAGUGUUAUAUGAUUCCAAGUUUAGCAACAAGUUCCACUACAUCAUCAACAUGAGCCCCGACUCCAUUCAUCAGAAGUAACAUUUGAAUAAUCUUAGUCUUCGUACUCCCACCCUUUACAGUUUCAAUGACGGAAAGAACAUCUAUCAAAAUAAACUAAUCUUCCACAAAAAAAAGUAAUCAUUUGCUUCAAAAUGUUCUCAUUUUGCUGAUUUACAAGGGCAUAGCCUCCUUUAGUCCAGCCAAUUAGGAAGUUCAACAUUCAGCACAUUUGACAUGUAUGAUCAAACAUGUGAAAAAAAGAAAGGCUAACCAUACUCUCUCUGUAUCCGAGUGAAGAAAACGUUUUAGUUCAUACACAAGAUAUGAAAAAUAUCUGGAUGACUGUAGCCCCCUAAUUGCUUAACAGAGGAGAAUGUUCAUCAUCCAAUGGUUGUAGGACACUCAUCAUUCACAAAUAAUUUGCUCAGUAUUUGUGUUCAUCCAUAGUGUCCGGUGCCCCUUCUCUAUUACAUGAUCUAAAAGUAAGAUAUGCCCACUUCCUACUUUGAAGCAAAUUCCCUGAAGAUGGGACGGACUUCAAGCAACUCAACAAACUCGAGCCACAUGAUUCCAAUAACAAAUAACUUAAUACAGGGUGUUCUAUUCAAAACGAAGCAACAGAGCCAAACACAAUCAGACACAUGGAAUCCCUUUAAUACGUGAAACUUUCGUUUUUUAUCCACAGCAACAAAGAUAUCAAUUAACCAUUUCCUCAACAUAUCAUACGCUAACAUUUCAACUCUCAGUCAGUAUCAGUCUUAAAGACAGGUCAUUGUACUCAAACGCUAUAAUUUUCUCAUAUAAUUCAAGCUCAAUAAUUUGUAGCACAAAUCGCAAUUCAAUCAAUUUCCCUUCACCUUCAAAUCAAUGCAAAGAACCAAAACACUAACACAAACAUCACCGUACAUCCCAAACAAUCAACAAAAACAUCCAUUUCAUAUAGAUCACAAUUAGUAACCCGCUUGAUACGAGCAACUAUCAAAGAUAAUCAUAUACAUACACAAAAAUAUAUAUAAGUGAAAUAAAUUAAAGCAGCAAACUUCAAACAAACUUUACCUGACUUUCUGAACGAGAAUCAUCUUGAGCUUGCGGGCAAGAUCCUGCGCGCGAAGCCUGCGCUCCAAAUUCUUUUUGGCCAAAACGCGCUUCUCGGAAUUUUUGACGUGGGCAAGCUGUUCCUGCUUUAUCAUUCGCUCGAUGCCGCUGGACUGCAUCUUCCGCUGCAUUAAGGUCAAAGCCUGAUCUAAAUUGCUGUUGUAAACCUUGACUCGAAUGCCCCUGCACUGUUGCAGGUGAGAACUCAUGGAAAAGAAGGAGGUCCGCCGCAUCGCCGCCGCCUGAAUCAUUGUAUCGGUUGGAAUUUGGGAUUUGAUUUGAGGGUUGUUUGGGGAUGUGGGAUUGGGAUAAAUAUGAAACUGGGCCGCAGGGUUUGGGUGGGCCUCUUGUAUAGAAAAUGAGUAAGAACAUUGUGGUCGAAUUUUUAGUUUACGUUAAACACCAAUAUUGUUUCUGGUAGUGUUUUCUUCAUAAUUCUUCUUUUCAUAUAAUAGUACAA